rnacentral:sRNA from 1 species
UAGGGAUAGAGGCGGCAUCUUUUUUUGAUUUUUCCCUGUACUUUGCAGUGCGGGAACGAAAUCAAAAAAAAAUAUAGCCGAUAGCCCGACCUUUU